rnacentral:lncRNA from 1 species
GUUCAAGCAAUUCUUUUGCCUCAGCCUCCUGAGUAGCUGGGACUACAGGCAUGCGCCACCAUAUCCAGCUAAUUUUUGUAUUUUUAGUAGAGACGGAGUUUCACCAUGUUAGCCAGGCUGGUCCUAGCUCAGCUUUUAUAGCAGCUGCCAUCAUUCCAGAAAUGUUACACUCUGAGCUGUUCAUGGCAAAAUCAUCAUCCCAAUUGGUGCCUGCUUUAUUACACUUUAGGAGAAAUUCCACCUAUUUCCAAAUAUGUGAUACUUUAUUCUUGCAAUGGUUCCGAGUAGUAGGCACAACAAGUAGUCAAAUUUCACAGAAUGGAUGAGAAACCUGGAGUUUACCUCUCCAGACCAGCCCUGACAUGUCACCAUGGAGAAACAUAAGGGCUCAUUUUGGGCCAUUUCCUCUCUGCCUGCAAAAUAUGAAACAUUACCCAAGUAUAGGAGGGCAGAGCUUCUGCCCAGAUAGGCAUGUGAUUUACCAUUACCACAACCCUCUUGCUAACUGUGAGUAGAACAAACUAAACACAGUUCUUCCCCAGAGAGGUCACUGACUACUCUAAAUGUUCUAUAGUACUAUACCCCAGAGGUUGCAAACUUGCAUUUUUUUUCUUGACCUACACAAUGCUUUCAAAGUCUUUUUGAAAUUUUAUUUACUUAUUUAUUUUAUUUUCUCAUGUGGCCAGUGGGUGGGAAGACCAAAAACCCUCAAUCUGCUUGAAAAUUUCCAUUCCAGCUUUAAAAAAUCGAGGUAUUUUAAAUAAAAAUCCAGAUUACCAGCUUUUCUUGAAAAAUCACCAUCCAGCACAGCAGCUCAUGCCUGUAAUCCCAGCAUUUUGGGAGGUCAAGGCGGGAUGAUUCCUUGCUUGAGCCCAGGAGUUCGAGACCAAUCUGGGCAACAUAGCACAACCUUGUCUCUACAGAUAAUUUAAAAAUUACCCACAGGGUUGGCUGGGCGCGGUGGCUCAGCCUGUAAUCCCAGCAAUGGGGAGGUGGAGGUGGGUGGAUCAUCUGAGGUCAGGAGUUUAAGGCCAGCCUGGCCAACAUGGUGAAACUCUGUCUCCACUAAAAAUACAAAAAAUUAGCCAGGAGUGGUAGCGCGCACCUGUAGUCCCAGCUACUUGGGAGGCUGAGGCAGGAGAACUGCUUGAACCCAGGAGGUGGAGGUUGCAGUGAGCCGAGAUCAUGCCACUGCACUCCAGCCUGGGUGACAUAGUGAGAGACUGUUUCAAAAAAAAUUAGGCGGGCAUGGUGAUGUGUGUCUGUGGUACCAGCUACUCAGGCGGCUGAGCUGGUUACAUAGCAUUCAGUCACUUACACAGCACUGCCACAUCCUUGUGAUCUGCACUGUGGUUGAUGUUUUUAUUAUCAUCUCUUCCACCCUCCCAUUUUUCAGAAAAGGACCUGAGUUCCAGAGAGUGCUUUACCCAAGGUCACACAAGUCAUCACUGGAAACUCUGUCAAAACCCAGCUGUUCUGAAUACUCAGUGAUGCAUUUACUUUAUUUUUUUGAGACAGAGUUUUGCUCUUGUCACCCAGGCUGGAGUGCAACGGCACAACCUCGGCUCACUGCAACCUCCGCCUCCCGGGUUCAAGCGAUUCUCCUGUCUCAGCCUCCCAAAUAGCUGGGAUUACAGGCGCCCACCACCACAUCUGGCUCAUUUUUGUAUUUUUAGUAGAGACGGGGUUUCACCAUGUUGGCCUGGCUGUUCUGGAACUCCGCCCGAGACAGGGUCUCUCUUUUUUUUUUUUGAGAUGGAGCCUAGCUCUGUCACCCAGGCUGGAAUGUGGUGGUGAGAUCUCAGCUCACUGCAGCCUCUGCCUCCCAGGUUCAAGAGAUUCUCUUGCCUCAGCCUCCUGAGUAGCUGGGACUACGGGCGUGUACCACCAUGCCCAGCUAAUUU